GUGAACCAGUACCGUGAGGGAAAGGCGAAAAGAACCCCGGCGAGGGGAGUGAAAAAGAACCUGAAACCGUGUACGUACAAGCAGUGGGAGCCCCACCACCAAAGCAUUCUCUGGUGUUGAAGGCCCUGCAAAGCAGCAUCGCGGUGGCGGAGCGUCGUUUGCGACGCCCAACACACAAAACAAGCGGUGAGUGCUUUGGGGUGGGGUGACUGCGUACCUUUUGUAUAAUGGGUCAGCGACUUAUAUUCUGUAGCAAGGUUAACCGAAUAGGGGAGCCGGAGGGAAACCGAGUCUUA
rnacentral:rRNA from 1 species